GAUGAACGCUGGCGGCGUGCCUAAUACAUGCAAGUCGAGCGAACAGAUGAGGAGCUUGCUCCUCUGACGUUAGCGGCGGACGGGUGAGUAACACGUGGAUAACCUACCUAUAAGACUGGGAUAACUUCGGGAAACCGGAGCUAAUACCGGAUAAUAUAUUGAACCGCAUGGUUCAAUAGUGAAAGACGGUUUUGCUGUCACUUAUAGAUGGAUCCGCGCCGCAUUAGCUAGUUGGUAAGGUAACGGCUUACCAAGGCAACGAUGCGUAGCCGACCUGAGAGGGUGAUCGGCCACACUGGAACUGAGCCACGGUCCAGACUCCUACGGGAGGCAGCAGUAGGUAAGCUUCCGCAAUGGGCGAAAGCCUGACGGAGCAACGCCGCGUGAGUGAUGAAGGUCUUCGGAUCGUAAAACUCUGUUAUUAGGGAAGAACAAAUGUGUAAGUAACUAUGCACGUCUUGACGGUACCUAAUCAGAAAGCCACGGCUAACUACGUG
rnacentral:rRNA from 1 species